rnacentral:rRNA from 1 species
UACGGAAGGCAGCAGUGGGGAAUAUUGCACAAUGGGCGCAAGCCUGAUGCAGCCAUGCCGCGUGUAUGAAAAAGGCCUUCGGGUUGUAAAGUACUUUCAGUCGUGAGGAAGGUGUUAAGGUUAAUAACCUUAGCAAUUGACGUUAGCGACAGAAGAAGCACCGGCUAACUCCGUGCCAGCAGCCGCGGUAAUACGGAGGGUGCGAGCGUUAAUCGGAAUUACUGGGCGUAAAGGGCACGCAGGCGGUUAAUUAAGUUGGAUGUGAAAUCCCCGGGCUUAACCUGGGAAUGGCAUUCAAGACUGGUUAGCUAGAGUCUUGUAGAGGGGGUAGAAUUCCAUGUGUAGCGGUGAAAUGCGUAGAGAUGUGGAGGAAUACCGGUGGCGAAGGCGGCCCCUGGACAAAGACUGACGCUCAUGUGCGAAAGCGUGGGGAGCAAACAGGGAUUUAGAUACC